rnacentral:lncRNA from 1 species
CGGGGAGGGCGGGGAGCGCGGCUCGGCUGGGCCCCAGGCAGACAUGCUGAAGCACUAAACUCUGUGUAGCUGAGCCUGCAGCGGCAGGGGGGGGCGGGGCGACGAAGCCUGAGCAUCCCCCCCACUCUGCCACCCCCACCCCCAGGCCUUCGAGGGUCAUAUUUGCACAGACAUGAGUUGGCACUUAGUUGCUCCAAAGCAUCAAUUAGUGCCCUAGCAGGACCCCAUCAUUCAAGGACACAGUGCACAGCCCCCAGCAACCUACACCCCCUGCCCGCUGCCCCUGCCCCCCCCCCCGGGAGGCGACCGCCCUGGGUCCAGAAGAACCCGGGCUGCUUUCCUUUGCUGGAGACCUUGCAGGCAGGGGGUUUCGAAUCCCAACCCGGAUGGCUCGGGGAUCACUGUUGCAGGUUUGGUUUGCCCGGAGCUGGCACCCCAGCACCACCAAGGCCGGCCACCUGUAAGGAGAUCUGCUGCGUGGCACUUUGCUGGGGUUUCAUGCUCGGCCGGGGUGGCCGCCUUCCUGCCAAGACCAUGUUGACACCCAGAGGGCGGUCCCUGUGGGAGCAGUGCAGACCAGGGGGUGAGCAGACCCGGUCCUUUGCCAUGUUCACGGAGCCCAUCCCACAGCCCCCAGGGGUUCCCAUCCCACAGCCCCCAGGGGUAGAUGUCAUCAUGACCCCCACUUUACAGAUAAGGACUCCGAGGCACGGAGCCCAGGACCCACAGCCAGCAAGCAGAGGAGCCCCAUUUCGGGGGCGGCUGGUCUGGUCUGCAGGCUGUGACCGGCGCCUGGGGCCACCUUGUGGUCAAAGCAAGAAUUGCUCUUGCGUGUCCAGGUGGUCAGGGUGAGCCUGGCACCAGACCAACGAUCCUUAUGCACCCCCCUCCCCCGACCGAUUCUCCCGGGAUCCUGAGCCUCAGUGAGGAUUCUCUUUCCACCAGCCUCGGGUCUGGCCUGGUCUCUCUCUCUGGGACAAUGAACAGCGUGUAGCCAGGGUGUUUCUGUCUUUGCCCUGAUAGCCAGGAAGUUUGGG